rnacentral:rRNA from 1 species
UACGGAGGGUGCAAGCGUUGUCCGGAUUUAUUGGGUUUAAAGGGUGCGUAGGCGGCUAUUUAAGUCAGUGGUGAAAUCCUGCAGCUCAACUGUAGAAUUGCCAUUGAUACUGGAUAGCUUGAGUACAGACGAGGUAGGCGGAAUUUAUGGUGUAGCGGUGAAAUGCAUAGAUACCAUAAAGAACCCCUAUUGCGAAGGCAGCUUACUAGGCUGUAACUGACGCUGAGGCACGAAAGCGUGGGGAGUCAAACAGGA